rnacentral:rRNA from 1 species
AUUGAACGCUGGCGGCAGGCUUAACACAUGCAAGUCGAGCGGAGACUUCGGUCUUAGCGGCGAACGGGUGAGUAAUACCUAGGAAUCUGCCUAUUAGUGGGGGAUAACGAAUCGAAAGGUUCGCUAAUACCGCAUACGUCCUACGGGAGAAAGGGGGGGAGUCUUCGGACCUCUCGCUAAUAGAUGAGCCUAGGCCGGAUUAGCUAGUUGGUAGGGUAAAGGCCUACCAAGGCGACGAUCUGUAGCUGGUCUGAGAGGAUGGCCAGCCACACUGGAACUGAGACACGGUCCAGACUCCUACGGGAGGCAGCAGUGGGGAAUAUUGGACAAUGGGGGCAACCCUGAUCCGGCCAUGCCGCGUGUGUGAAGAAGGCCUU